AGGGUGGCCGCCGCCGGGGAAUACACCGGAACGCUGGUGUCCCGUCCCAAGGGCCAGGAGCCAAUGCUCAGGGACGUCCUAUCCUAGAGGGUCUGUUCCUUUCUUCAGGAAGCAUCCACCAGCACCAGGCGGGCGCUGGGACCACAGACAAGUGUCGGAGGAAAGUGCAGGUGCCCACGGCCCUCCACGGAGAAGAUUCGGGAGAGGAGGCAAAGGAAGAGGCUGGGUGCUGGUUUGGGAGUCUCCACCAGCCCCAACAGGACGCACCAGUGGGUGCGGCGUGGCCCAAGUCGGGAGCAGGUGACCUCACGAUUGGGGGUUGGGGACCAAGAAUGUAGCCUCAAGCGCCCACCACGCCAACGCCCUGCCAUCCACGGCCCCUGCGACCUGGCCUGGACAUCGGAGCUCCACUCUGAGCCUCCGGGAGGGGAGCCCGUGUCCUGGAUUCAGCCUGACGCCCCAGUGAGGCCUCAAGAACCGUCCACGAGUGGGCAGCAGCCACAGCGGCAGGGCCUCCAGACCGCAAGUUCCCCACCGUGGCCCCCCACCACCACCGCCUCGGGAGGGGAAGCCCGGCUUCCUGAGGCUCAUGCAUUUGUGCAGGGCCUCAAGGACAGCAAGGCCAAGGGGCCAGGCUUCCCUUUCAGGUGGAGGGCCCGGCAUGGUGAGCCAGACCAGUGGUGGGCCGGUGUGCCCAGUCGGUGCCUCGGUGGGCCAUAAAGGUGCCCCUUGCGGGGGGGAGUGCAGGCUGCAUAUCCCAGCACCCUUGUCCUCACCCCAGACUUCCCCUUGGCACAACCCCCAGGAAAGAUGCCAGUCACUGUGGCUGCCGUCUUAGUGCUCGCUGUGGGCCAAGACCCCGACAUCGUCCCUACAGAACCUACCUAUGGGUCUGAUCGCACUUUUCCAGGGGUGACUAUUUGAGCAAAGCUGGUCUCCCCAGCAGAACAGUAAGCAACGUGGGGGCGGGGCUGUGUCUGUUUCAGCCACCAGCACCAGACCUGCUUCU